AGCCUAAAAUUGAUCCUUUUGAUGAUUGGGUUUUUAUGUUCAUAUGUUUGAUAUGCCUCCCUCAAAUCCUCUUAUGAUGUCGGCACAUUACCUAUCUGAGG